rnacentral:tRNA from 2 species
GCGCGCAUCGUAUAGUGGCUAUUAUACGGCCUUGCCAAGGCUGAGACGAGAGUUCGAUUCUCUCUGCGCGCUCCA